rnacentral:lncRNA from 1 species
GAUAAACCUCUGCCUCGAACUCUAAAACGUGAUUCAAAGCUGUGGCACUGGUUCUGAAGCUCGGAAUUGUCGUCGGUUUGUCCCUUUUUGUCACAGCCACCACCUAUGAGAAACUCGAAAGCAACAAUGACCAACUUUGGAAUUUUUAAAAAUCUAGUCCCUCAUCUUUUGUAUAAUUUGUUUUUGACCCAAUACUUUUAUUUGUGAAAAAG